rnacentral:misc_RNA from 1 species
GAUGAAGAACGCAGCGAAAUGCGAUAACUAAUGUGAAUUGCAGAAUUCCGUGAAUCAUCGAAUCUUUGAACGCACAUUGCGCCCGCCAGUAUUCUGGCGGGCAUGCCUGUUCGAGCGUCAUUUCAACCCUCAAGCCCAGCUUGGUGUUGGGGAUCGGCACAGGCGCCCUCGGGCGCCCGCCGUCCCCUAAAUCUAGUGGCGGUCCCGCUGCAGCCUCCUCUGCGUAGUAGUUUUCUCCUCGCAAGGGCAGCUCGGUGGCGACCUCGCCGUAAAACCCCCAACUUCUGAAAGGUUGACCUCGAAUCAGGUAGGAAUACCCGCUGAACUUAAGCAUAUCAAUAAGCGGA